UGCAUGAUGUGCCCUAAUAACAGAAGGCCUU
rnacentral:piRNA from 1 species